rfam:Hordeum vulgare subsp. vulgare, WGS project CAJW01000000 data, contig: morex_contig_70847
AUUGUACUCCCUCCGUCUUAAAUUUUUUGUCUUAGAUAUAUAUAAAUAUGAAUGUAUCUAGUCACAUUUUCGUAUUUAGAUACAUCUAUUUUAAAACAAAUUUAAGACAAUAAUUUUAAAACCGAGGGAGUAUUCA